UACGUAGGUGGCAAGCGUUAUCCGGAAUUAUUGGGCGUAAAGAGCGCGCAGGUGGUUGAUUAAGUCUGAUGUGAAAGCCCACGGCUUAACCGUGGAGGGUCAUUGGAAACUGGUCGACUUGAGUGCAGAAGAGGGAAGUGGAAUUCCAUGUGUAGCGGUGAAAUGCGUAGAGAUAUGGAGGAACACCAGUGGCGAAGGCGGCUUCCUGGUCUGUAACUGACACUGAGGCGCGAGAGCGUGGGGAGCAAACAGGAUUAGA
rnacentral:rRNA from 1 species